rnacentral:rRNA from 1 species
CCUACGGGUGGCAGCAGUGGGGAAUAUUGCACAAUGGGGGAAACCCUGAUGCAGCAACGCCGCGUGAAGGAAGACGGUUUUCGGAUUGUAAACUUCUGUUCUUAGUGAAGAAUAAUGACGGUAGCUAAGGAGCAAGCCACGGCUAACUACGUGCCAGCAGCCGCGGUAAUACGUAGGUGGCAAGCGUUGUCCGGAAUUACUGGGUGUAAAGGGUGCGUAGGCGGCCUUGCAAGUCAGAAGUGAAAUCCAUGGGCUUAACCCGUGAACUGCUUUUGAAACGGUAGGGCUUGAGUGAAGUAGAGGCAGGCGGAAUUCCCGGUGUAGCGGUGAAAUACGUAGAGAUCGGGAGGAACACCAGUGGCGAAGGCGGCCUGCUGGGCUUUAACUGACGCUGAAGCACGAAAGCGUGGGUAGCAAACAGGAUUAGAUACCCCUGUAGUC